rnacentral:rRNA from 1 species
UACGGAGGGUGCGAGCGUUGUCCGGAAUCAUUGGGCGUAAAGGGCGCGUAGGUGGCCCGGUCAGUUCGUGGUGAAAGCGCGGGGCUCAACCCUGCGUCGGCCAUGAAUACUGCCGCGGCUGGAGCACUGUAGAGGCAGGCGGAAUUCCGGGUGUAGCGGUGGAAUGCGUAGAGAUCCGGAAGAACACCGGUGGCGAAGGCGGCCUGCUGGGCAGUUGCUGACACUGAGGAGCGAAAGCGUGGGGAGCGAACAGG